CAGGCUUGUAAAAGUGUCAUUACUAGAGGGACCCUGGGAAAGAGAGGUGAGAUAGAUUCCUGUCGGUUUGUGGAAUAUUUCCCGUGCACUAAGCCCUCAUGUUAAGAGUGUGGUAUUAUUGAUAAGACCAUCUUCUCCGGACCGUCCCACUGCCAGGGGACUCGGAGAAGAGCAAUCCACAAAAGAGCUCUUUCAUGUCCGUCUGUGCAACAGAACAAAGCGAGGAUUAAUGCACUGUCUUUCAUCCAGGGGUGGAGGUGUCAGGAGGUAGGCAUCCGGAAAAAAGGUAGCAGUGCCAGAGAGAGUGUCUGGGAUGAAGUGGCAUAACGGAGAAGAUCUCAUGAGACCUGGGCCCCUGGCGCCAUUGACUCGUAAUGGGGAUAUAAUGGAUGGCAGGGUACCAUGACGACAUCAUAUCCCAUCCUUGGACAGGUGUUUCAGUUUGCGAAUGAGAGGAAAUGGGAUCUUUACACCCAAUUUGAAGUGAACCAUGGCUCUCCAGGACAUGACAAGAACAAAAUCCAUCAGGUGGCCCGUGGAAUUUGCCCUAAUUGGUUUUUACAGUCAUACCUUGUUUAAUAUAAUUGGACUGUCAUAUAAGGGUUGUCCUGGCUGUUAUGCUGGGCUAUUUUUAUCCUGUUUAUUGUAAGUCAAUUCAGUUCCUGGAAGAUCCCUUUAAUGCCCCGACUUGCAUGUCCAAUAUUAUUAGGUGCUAUGAGUUCAGCUUGUGCAAAUCGCUUAAUGCAUAAGUCGGUAAGAGGCUCUGUGCUGGCAGGUCAGACUGAAGGUACAGCAGAUUAAUAUUUGAUCAUGCAGGAGGGUUUGUAAUCACAGCUGAUUGAUCCUUCAGCUGAGUGCCCUGGCAAUUAUCAUAAUUGUUGCCCACCCUACCGGCUUCUCUCUCUCUCUCUCUCUCUCUCGCUCGCAUGUCUCCCUCACUCUCCUCGUAGCGUGGGCCGCAGGUUGAGAGUCUGUGAGACAGGAAUUCCUGCACAGUGUGUCUUUGAGUGUAUAAUGCAGGAGAAUUGUGGGAGAGAGGUUGGAUGAGGAUCAUCAGAGGCGAGGUUUCCCUCUCUUGGGCGACAUUGUGUGUGUGUGUGUGUGUGUGUGUGUGUGUGUGUGUCUGCAGGGGCAGUGGGACGUGGUUUGCUUGUGUUAGUGUUUCCGAGGACACACACACACUGUAUUCUGGCAGUGUUUAAAGUGAAUCCCCACUCAGCCACGCUCCACGCUCACGCUGCGAGACGGCGUGUAACACACAAACGGAGGAAAAAGACAGAACGCUGUCUCUAUUUACACAGGACUCUUUUACCAAGAACUUUGGAUCAAUCUUUCUCUCUGGUUGAUUUGUUUUCCGAGUGAUUUUACUAACUGAUGCUGAAUUGCCUUAUGGUCCAUAACCUGUAAUAAUAAAGCUUGUAUAUUAUUUCAGAAAUGAGUGCUGAAAGAGUCCAGCCUUUAUUGUGUUUGUGUUCAUCACAUCAAGCUGUGCUUGUAUGCUGUCUUUAUUUAACCAAAUAUCUUCAUUCAUUUGUGUAAUUUCUGGAUUUUUACGCAAUGGUGUGAAUUCGAUUUCUUUCUUUUAAAAGCCUAUUUUUUUUAAGUGGAAAAAUACCAAACUGGUUUCUAGCCUGUCUGCCUUUGAAGCUGAGGGGUAUAAGUGCCACUGAAUGUGUGAGGCAGCCAGUGCUGUGCCACACUGUGUGGGGGUACUUCCUGUGCCAUGUUUUGUGGAGGUACGUUUUUUUUUUUUUUUUUUUUUUUUUUUUUUUAAAGUG